UAAGAAACAGGAAGUCAGUUUCCAAUUAAAGCUGUACAAGAUCAAAGGAUGAUGUCAUAUCCUGUGUGCCAUGCUCUUGGCUAAAAUGGUGGUUCUAUGAAUGCUUGACUGUAUUUUUUAUUUUUUGAAAGUGGUCAUUUUAACCACAUUAGAUUCAAUCAGUGUCUUUGUUGAAGAGCUAUAUUACAAAAUGUGUUGGCCUCUCAUAUUUUUGUUGAACCACUUUUACUCGACUGUAGACUGGUUUGUACGCCUGGUCGUAUAAGAAGAAUAGGGUGGAUUUGAAAGAGACAUGAUCCUGUACAUACUGAGUUGAAAUGUGGCAGCAGCUCCUCUGAUAUUACCAUUGUAGACAAGGUAUAAAUCCCUUGGAAUCCUAUAUUUCAGUAAAUAAACU